rnacentral:rRNA from 1 species
CUUUCUUUGCUGGCGACCGGCGCACGGGUGAGUAACACGUAUCCAACCUGCCCUUUACUCGGGGAUAGCCUUUCGAAAGAAAGAUUAAUACCCGAUAGCAUAAUGAUUCCGCAUGGUUUCAUUAUUAAAGGAUUCCGGUAAAGGAUGGGGAUGCAUUCCAUUAGGUUGUUGGUGGGGUAACGGCCCACCAAGCCUUCGAUGGAUAGGGGUUCUGAGAGGAAGGUCCCCCACAUUGGAACUGAGACACGGUCCAA